rnacentral:rRNA from 1 species
CCCGCUGAAUUUAAGCAUAUAAGUAAGCGGAGGAAAAGAAACUAACAAGGAUUCCCCUAGUAAUGGCGAAUGAAGCGGGAACAGCUCAAAUUUAAAAUCUCCGUUGCUUGCAACGGCGAAUUGUAGUUUCGAGAAGCACUUUCUCGGCGGAUCCGAGGUCGUCCAAGUUGCUUGGAACAGCACGUCGUAGAGGGUGAAAACCCCGUCUGCGGCGACCUCGGUCGUUCACGAUGUGCUUUCGACGAGUCGGGUUGUUUGGGAAUGCAGCCCAAAAUGGGUGGUAAACUCCAUCUAAAGCUAAAUAUUGGCACGAGACCGAUAGCGAACAAGUACCGUGAGGGAAAGAUGAAAAGCACUUUGAAAAGAGAGUUAAAAAGUACGUGAAACCGUUAAAAGGGAAACGAAUGGGGUUAGCAAUGCGUCGUGCGAGAUUCAGCCGGUGGGUGGGCCAGGCGGGCGGUUGGCGGAUCUGAAUGGACCGCUGCCGUUCGGGUUGGUUUCCCGACCGUCGCACUUCUCGCAGGCGCGCGCCAACGUCGGUUAGGGCUGGGUCUCAAAGGCGGUGGGAAAGGUAGGUUUGGACUCUCGGGCCCGAACUGUUACAGUCCUCCGUUUGUCAUGGCCCGGACCUGACCGAGGAGCUUGCGGUGCAUGCCGUUCGGCUAGGGUCCCGUCUUCCCGGUCGGUCGUCGAAUGCGGUGGACUGCGUGCAGUGCGCCGCGACUGCUGCCGGUCGCGAGGGCGGUGAUUUCGUACUAUGCACCCACGACGUUGGCGGUCAUAUGGCCUCAUCCGACCCGUCUUGAAACACGGACCAAGGAGUCUAACAUGUGUGCGAGUCUUUGAGUGAUCGAAACUCCGAGGCGUAAUGAAAGUGAAGGCGACUUCGGUCGCUGAGGUGAGAGCCUUUUUCCACAAAAAAAGGCGCAUCAUUGACCGACCUAUUCUACUCUUAGAAAGGUUUGAGUAAGAGCGCAUCUGUUGGGACCCGAAAGAUGGUGAACUAUGCCUGAGAAGG